AUUGAACGCUGGCGGCAUGCCUUACACAUGCAAGUCGAACGGUAACGGGCCUUCGGGUGCCGACGAGUGGCGCACGGGUGCGUAAUACAUCGGAACGUGCCCGAUCGUGGGGGAUAACGAGGCGAAAGCUUUGCUAAUACCGCAUACGAUCUACGGAUGAAAGCAGGGGACCGCAAGGCCUUGCGCGGACGGAGCGGCCGAUGGCAGAUUAGGUAGUUGGUGGGAUAAAAGCUUACCAAGCCGACGAUCUGUAGCUGGUCUGAGAGGAUGAUCAGCCACACUGGAACUGAGACACGGCCCAGACUCCUACGGGAGGCAGCAGUGGGGAAUUUUGGACAAUGGGCGCAAGCCUGACCCAGCCAUGCCGCGUGCAGGAUGAAGGCCUUCGGGUUGUAAACUGCUUUUGUACGGAACGAAAAGCCUUCUUUUAAUACAGGAGGGUCAUGACGGUACCGGAAGAAUAAGCACCGGCUAACUACGUG
rnacentral:rRNA from 1 species